GCGUCGGGCAUCGGGCCAAGGAGAGCGAAAUUGCGCUAAGGAUAUCGGGGUUGCGGAGGUCAACCGCCGAUUGGGCAACAAGCCGCAAGAGAGGACGAUGCACCGAAGAAUCGGAUGAAGCGCCAACCAAUGACGUGCCGGGCAACAGAAUGUCAAUUUGCGUUAUAAUAAUUGUCUAGAUCGGAGUAGAGUGUUUGCUUGUGUGUGCAGGAUUAACUACGAUAACGACAAAGACAUAAAGCAAGGAUACCGGAGUCGAGCUCGAUGGACGUUUAAGAGACCGAAGAAUCAUUGGAGAUGCUGCCGGAACCAUCCGAGAAGAAAUCGGGAACGUGUCGGAAGUUCGCCGAAGAAAUCGUCGGAGGCUUGCGGAGAUCAUCGAGAAGGCUCGGCUACUCGUUAAAAGUCAUCACAAAGAUUGGGAGCUUGCAGGGAGUCCGUCGGAAGAAGUUCGUCGGAAAGCUCGCCGGAACAAGACUCGACGUUCGCGGUUGAAAAUUUGCUUAGGAUGUGUUUUGGUUAUGUAGUCCACUUGUAAUUAGGAUUAGGAUUAAGAGAUAAUCCUAUAUCCUGGUUAGGGGCCAAC
rnacentral:lncRNA from 1 species